UACGGAGGGUGCAAACGUUGCUCGGAAUUACUGGGCGUAAAGCGCGUGUAGGCGGCUAAGUGAGUCUGGCGUGAAAGCCCUGGGCUUAACCCAGGAAGUGCGCUUGACACUGCUUAGCUCGAGUACGGGAGAGGGUAGUGGAAUUUCCGGUGUAGAGGUGAAAUACGUAGAUAUCGGGAGGAACACCAGUGGCGAAGGCGGCUACCUGGACCGAUACUGACGCUGAGACGCGAAAGCGUGGGGAG
rnacentral:rRNA from 1 species